AUGGAGAGUGGUGCUGACUGCCGACUACCGCAAAGUGGCAUGUUAUGGUGAUAAUUGCGAUUAUCUGGGGUGUUGUUGCAAGUUAUCUUAAUUGGUCGGCAGUUUUAUUGCUUCAGAGAUAAGGCAAUAUUGAAAUAUACCGACUUUGCGCUUAAAUGUGAAGUGUUUGUCACAGUGUUCGAAGCAGAUUCAAGACCGUUAAAUUGACAACAAUGACAAUCAAAAAGAAUACCAUAAAGCUUCUGAAGCACCAAAACUGUGGCAACAUAUUCAGGCUGCUAAGAAGGUGUCAAUCAACAAGAGUUACAACUGAUUGAAUGUGCCUUUAUUUAAUUAACAAUGUUAAAUGUGUUGUUAUUAUUAAUACUACUGUUAUUAAAUCAAUUCCUUUAACAUACUGUAAA